rnacentral:rRNA from 1 species
CCUACGGGUGGCUGCAGUGAGGAAUAUUGGUCAAUGGGCGCGAGCCUGAACCAGCCAAGUCGCGUGAGUGAAGACGGUCCUAUGGAUUGUAAACCUCUUUUGUCGGGGAGCAAAAGACGCCACUCGUGGCUUUCCUCGAUUACCCGAAGAAAAAGCAUCGGCUAACUCCGUGCCAGCAGCCGCGGUAAUACGGGGGAGGCGAGCGUUAUCCGGAUUUAGUUGGUUAAAAGUGUGCGACGGGGGAAGAUAAAGUCAGCGGUAAAAUGGAGAGGCUAAACCUCUUCGAGCAGUUGAUACUGGUGUGCUUGAGUGAGCGAGAAGUAUGUAGAAGGCGAGGUGUAGCGGUGAAAUGCAUAGAUAUCACGAAGAACUCCGAUUGCGAAGGCAGCAUACCGGCGCUCAACUGACGCUCAUGUACGAAAGUGUGGGUAUCGAACAGGAUUAGAUACCCCUGUAGUC